UCUCAUUAGGGAAAGAUGAUAUGCAUAUGCACACAUGUAAGGAGGAGUGACAAUAAUUAGCCAAAAGCUCUGUAGACAUAAUUGCCUCUGAUGAAGUGCUGACUGAUGACGUCGGACACUAGGCUAUUGACAGUGUACCCCAGGGAAAUGCAAAAGGGAAGCGAACUGCCUCAUGAAGUGAGAUUAGGAUUACUGGGUCAGAAGUGUGGAGAGGGUGAUUCAGAUGGACAAAGGAGCAGAGGCAGGAUUCAAGUGAUGCGUUUCGGAGGCAGUGCAGCCUGUUUGUGCUGAGUGGAAGGUGCACGAGGAACAUAGUAGACGGUAACAGGAAGGCAGGAGCUGUGAAGGCCUUUGAAGGUCAGGCCAGUUGUAAUAAAAGUAUUUCACAUUGUCAGGUAUCUUGGGAUGGUUGCCAAACAUUUUUCUAUGGUUUGUAUAAAUACAUAUCCAUUUUAUUUAUGUAAUUUAUGUAUUUAUUUAUUUUAGUUUUUUUUUUUGAGACGGAGUUUCACUCUUGUUGCCCAGGCUGGAGUGCAAUGGAGUGAUCCCAGCUCACUACAACCUCCGCCUCUCAGGUUCAAGCAAUUCUCCUGCCUCAGCCUCCUGAUAGUUGGGAUUAC
rnacentral:antisense_RNA from 1 species